UGCAGAUGGCAACAAAAGGAAGAUGUUGAUUCUAGGCCUGUUAUGGGAGUGACAUCUAUACCUUAUGAGUGCCCAGGACUUUGACUGCAUAAAAGUUGUACCUCCAGAAAAACAACUCGGGGACUCCUGCCACCAAGAAGACCAGGGUGAAGAAGGACCAGCUGGGCACAGCAGGAAUUAAGUUUGCUUAAUGUCUCUCUCUCUCUUGCUCACAUUCUAUUCCCCCUCCCCUCUCUCCCUAUUUUUUUCUGUCUCUCUACCUCACAUUUACUCUUAUAUAAAAUCUGUUCUAUUGA